AUACGGUAAAGAUACGUACGCCUUUCUAUCGCGGGCGUAUAAUCUCAGGUUUGACGCCAAAUAUGGAAACGGUACAUACGUUCAACGCCAUCUGCAUAUGUUCCUGUUCCGGUCUCUUCCCGCUUGCUCGGUAAUCGAUGGAGUAAGAGAUUUCAACGUGUUAUCAAAUCGAAGCAGCGUUCUUCGCAGUAUUCUUCGCAGUGUUCUCUCUUCGCAGAGUUCUUCGCAGUAUUCUUCGCAGUGUUCUCUCUUCGCAGAAUUCUUCACAGGAUUCUUCGCAUGUUCUAUACAGUGUUCUUCGCAGAGUUCUUCGCAGAGUUCUUCGUAGAGUUCUUCGUAGGGUUCUUUGCAAGGUUCUUCACAGAAUUCAUGUUUAAAUUUAUUGAGACAAAUAGUCUCAAACAAAGUUGCUGUAUUAUAUAAUUGGCAUGGUGCCAAAAAAAAAAAGAAUUUUUCCCAGCUGAACUUGUGUCAAGUAAUAUUAACUAUUGUAAGAAACGCGCAUGAAGCAGCAAAGGAUGAGCACAUAUCUAAUACAAUAAAAGUAUGGUUAGCUCACGCUAAAGAGCGUAUUGAUAGAGAGAAAGAAAAAAAAAGAAAAAUUCAGAGGGAUCGAAACGAUCCUCCGGAAGAACUAGAAGAGCCCUCUGACUGAAUGUGAUAAUUAUCUUGUCAACGUAUUUAAAUAAGACACGUUAGCGCAAGAGCCAAAGAUUACAAUUAAGAAUUUUGUUUUUUUCAAAUUUUG
rnacentral:lncRNA from 1 species